rnacentral:rRNA from 1 species
UACCAGCUCUCCAAGUGGUGUGGAUGUUUAUUGGGCCUAAAGCAUCCGUAGCUGGCUGAACAAGUCCCCUGCUAAAUCCACCGAUUUAAUCGUUGGAGUGCAAGGGAUACUGUUCGGCUAGGGGACGGGAGAGGCCGACGGUAUUUCUGGGGUAGGGGUGAAAUCCUAUAAUCCCGGAAAGACCACCAGUGGCGAAGGCUGUCGGCUAGAACGCGCCCGACGGUGAGGGAUGAAAGCUGGGGGAGCGAACCGGAUUAGAUACCCGGGUAGUCCCAGCUGUAAACGAUGCAGGCUAGGUGUUUGGGCGGCCAUGUGCCGCUCUAGUGCCGCAGGGAAGCUGUUAAGCCUGCCGCCUGGGGAGUACGGCCGCAAGGCUGAAACUUAAAGGAAUUGGCGGGGGAGCACCACAAGGGGUGAAGCUUGCGGUUUAAUUGGAGUCAACGCCGGAAAUCUCACCGGGGGCGACAGCAGAAUGAAAGCCAGAUUAAAGGUCUUGCUAGACUAGCUGAGAGGAGGCGCAUGGCCGUCGCCAGUUCGUGCCGUGAGGUGUCCUGUUAAGUCAGGCAACGAUCGAGACCCGCAUCCCUCGUUGCUACCAGCCUUGAGCUGGGCACACUGGGGAGACCGCUGCUGAUAAAGCAGAGGAAGGAGCGGGCCACGGCAGGUCAGUAUGCCCCGAAUCUCCCGGGCCACACGCGAGCUGCAAUGGCAGGUACAAUGAGUUCCAACUUCGAAAGAAGGAGGCAAUCUCGAAAACCUGCCGUAGUUGGGAUCGAAGGUUGAAACCCACCUUCGUGAACAUGGAAUCCCUAGUAAUCGCGUGUCACUAUCGCGCGGUGAAUACGUCCCUGCUCCU